rnacentral:sRNA from 1 species
UAGCCUCCGUCCUGAGAAGGAUUGGCAA